rnacentral:tRNA from 1 species
GCCCGGGUGGUGGAACAGGUAGACACUGGGGACUUAAAAUCCCCUGGCUUUUACGAGCCGUGCCGGUUCGAUUCCGGCCUCGGGCA